AACGAACGCUGGCGGCAUGCCUAACACAUGCAAGUCGAACGAAGCCUUCGGGCUUAGUGGCGCACGGGUGCGUAACGCGUGGGAAUCUGCCCUUGGGUUCGGAAUAACAGUUAGAAAUGACUGCUAAUACCGAAUGAUGUCUUCGGACCAAAGAUUUAUCGCCCAAGGAUGAGCCCGCGUCGGAUUAGCUAGUUGGUGAGGUAAAGGCUCACCAAGGCGACGAUCCGUAGCUGGUCUGAGAGGAUGAUCAGCCACACUGGGACUGAGACACGGCCCAGACUCCUACGGGAGGCAGCAGUGGGGAAUAUUGGACAAUGGGCGAAAGCCUGAUCCAGCAAUGCCGCGUGAGUGAUGAAGGCCUUAGGGUUGUAAAGCUCUUUUACCCGGGAUGAUAAUGAC
rnacentral:rRNA from 1 species